CGAAAACGGCCGCGGAGUCGCGGUAUUUUUACCGUCGUUACCGCCCGGUAACCACUGUAGUAGGUCAGUACAGCGCGAUUUAAUUUAAUUUUAUGUCCGCGUGUAAUAAACUCUGAUCAUUACGUGUAGACUAUUUCUUCGGGAACGCGACCUGAAAUUCCGUCUUAUAAAAUUAUAAAACCGCUUCAAUCGUACAAAGCUAAUUGCGGUUUUUAUACACAAUAGUUUGGUAAUGCUU